GUUAUCUGUCAUCAAACAAGAGCACUAGAAGAAUGGUUUGUUUAUGGAAGCAAGCUAGCUACAGAGUAUUUUAAAAUGUACCAUAAUUUUUUGUAAAAGUAGCAUCAUUUCUAUUUUCUAAAGCAUAAUUGAGAGAGGUUAAAAUUUUAAACAUAUUUUGAAAUAUCUGUGAACUUGAAGGAUGAGAGCAAGCCAAUGGAUUUUUGAAAAGUUUUUCCAGCCAAUGGGCACAAGGAUAUCUUAUCACUGGAGAGAGAAUUAGAGAGUCUGGGAGAGGAACUGCAACCAAACCAUUAAAGGCCUGCCCGAGGAAGACAUCUUCCUUGCCUUGAAUGAGUCAAUGUAGUUUAGGGAAAAGCCUAUAGGAGCAGAAUGCCUUCACGGACCUGCUGAGGAGAGGCGAGCAGGACAGGCAAGGUAGGGGAGCAAAAUCCCCAACCACCCCACCCUUAUCCAGCCUCUGAACCAGCCUGGAGAGAGAAGGUGAGGCUGGAGAAGGAGAAAGAAGCAAGACAUCUGCCCUCUGUACUUGGCUGUGUUCUCAGCAUCAUUCGCUAAUGAACUCCUCACUGCCUCCUGGUCAAUAGCGUCCGGGUCCACGGACCCAGGACGGGUGUUUCUCAGCAUAACAGCUGUGCCCAAGUCAGAAACUUUAAGGCUUUAAAGGAGGUGCUAGUUGCUACAAGGGAAGAAGCAGGCAAAACCCAUAAGCUAGUUCCCAUUCUACUCUCUGGACACAGCACAUCCUGAAGACAGAGCCAACUGGAAAGAAAAUAGCAUGAUUCCCCAGCAUGAUAGAUGGGAAACCAAAUGUGCUGGCAGUCAUAUAUCUAAAGGAAUAUUCAUAACAAGAUAUUGGUACAGUAGGAUCAAAGGAGUGCCAACGUCAUCAGGAAACCAAGAGACAGUCAGAGCUUAGUAAUGUCUGCGUGGUCCUGAGUGAACCAGCAAGGCUGGCUGGGGAGACACGGAAGCUCACUGGAGACUAGCUGCCCAGAGAGCGGCCUCCCUGCAGACGGCCUCCCCACCACAGCUCACACCAAGCAUUUGGGAAAGCUCCCAGCAUGCAAGGUGGAAACACCAAAAGCCACAUGCAAGCGGCUCUCAAGAGGGGAGAUGACGCAGCCCUUGUUACGCUGAAGGAGAGGAGGCUGGCUCAGAAAAGAUGACCACAAGACUUUUCAAAACACAAAGCUAAUUAGUCUGGGUUAAGAAAGAGAGAGAGGAGUUCCCGUCGUGGCGCAGUGGUUAAUGAAU